GAUGAACGCUGGCGGCGUGCCUAACACAUGCAAGUCGAGCGAUUUACUUCGGUAAAGAGCGGCGGACGGGUGAGUAACGCGUGGGUAACCUGCCCUGUACACACGGAUAACAUACCGAAAGGUAUGCUAAUACGAGAUAAUAUGCUUUUAUCGCAUGGUAGAAGUAUCAAAGCUCCGGCGGUACAGGAUGGACCCGCGUCUGAUUAGCUAGUUGGUAAGGUAACGGCUUACCAAGGCGACGAUCAGUAGCCGACCUGAGAGGGUGAUCGGCCACAUUGGCACUGAGACACGGUCCAAACUCCUACGGGAGGCAGCAGUGGGGAAUAUUGCACAAUGGGCGAAAGCCUGAUGCAGCAACGCCGCGUGAGCGAUGAAGGCCUUCGGGUCGUAAAGCUCUGUCCUCAAGGAAGAUAAUGACGGUACUUGAGGAGGAAGCCCCGGCUAACUACGUGCCAGCCGCCGCAGUAAGAC
rnacentral:rRNA from 1 species